rnacentral:rRNA from 1 species
AUUGAACGCUGGCGGCAGGCCUAACACAUGCAAGUCGAACGAGUGGCGGACGGGUGAGUAAUGUCUGGGAAACUGCCUGAUGGAGGGGGAUAACUACUGGAAACGGUAGCUAAUACCGCAUACCAUCAGAUGUGCCCAUAUGGGUAUAGCUUGUUGGUGGGGAAACGGCUCACCAAGGCGACGAUCCCUACCGGGUCGGAGAGGAGGACCAGCAACACUGGAACGGAGACACGGUCCAGACUCCGACGGGAGGCAUCAGUGGGGAAUAUUGCACAAUGGGCGCAAGCCUGAUGCAGCCAUGCCGCGUGUAUGAAGAAGUCCUUGGGGUUGUAAAGUACUUUCAGCGGGGAGGCGUUACCCGCAGAAGAAGCACCGGCUAACUCCGUGCCAGCCGCCGCGGUAAUUC